AUCUCUCUUUUAACCACAUGUGUUUUGUAACGCUUGUGAUGAGACCUCAGGUCAGGCGGGGCUACCCGCUGAAUUUAAGCAUAUCAAUAAGCGGAGGAAAAGAAACUAACAAGGAUUCCCUUAGUAACGGCGAGCGAACCGGGAUAAGCCCACCAUGAG